AUUGACACUUUCUCAUUAGCUAUGUAAUUUAGUUAUACAGUAACUAGAUACGUUUUGCUUCAAAAAAAAAACUAGAUACGUUCCCUCAAGAGGUUGGUCUCCCAUACUUUCAUCAUAGAUGUCUCCAAAGGGUGACAACAAAUCUUCUUACAAUACUCCGAAUCAAAGAAGAGACUGAUGUCUUUAAUGACCUCCUUAAGGAUUACCUCAGGAGGCUACUAACGUGCUGUCUGUAUCUUUUAUUUCUUUUCCGUCCUUAUAUGCCACUACAAGCACCCAAUAGCAUUCCAUAGUAGCCCGUAAUUUUUUGCGUAGCCUCCGUCAGAUCCCCCAAUCUAAUAUCUGGACUGGAUUGGGUGGGAACUGGAAUAUUCAUUAUUUUCCGGAAGGCGAGAUUCAGGUGCUCAGCCAACAGAAUUAAAAGAGAUCUGAAAUACGAAAAGUUGAAGAAAAGAUGACUCCAAGAUUCAUUUUCCAGAUUGCAUAGCAAGCAAGCAAGAGGUACCUUGUUUUCAAAUAAAAAGCAGGAGGUACCUGCACUUUCCAACUUCUUAACUUCCUGAACGUGUUUAGGUGAUCCCAUUUCACCCUCCACAAGAAAAAAAAAGAAUUUUGCCAGCAUCUUCGACCAAAUUCUCUCAGCUAACAUGUUUUUAUGGUUUCUAUUUCUAAUACUUUCCACCAUUCUCUCAACUGGCUUAUCGGAGUACCAAAUCUCCACACAAUCGUACUAUUGGUCCUACAAUCCAAACAUUUAUCCACUAGAUUCCUUUCUGAGAUAAAAGCUUUCCAUAAAUGCGAAUCCACAGUAGACCUGAUUUGAAUAUCAUUAAACGCUUUUCCUUUAAUAUACCUAUCUUGGAUCCAUUUUACAAAAAUAGAAUCACUCUUAUCCCAACACUUUGAGGCUCUUUUAAUAUUAGUUGCAGUGGUGAUAAUAGGUAGGUCUCUAACCCUUAGAUCGCCUUCCGUCUUGGGAAGGACCAUUUGGGCCCAUGGGACCCCUUUCCUUCCUUCCCAUAUAAAUCUAUAAACUAACCUUCUCACCAAUACACUUGGCGCUAUGUAGGCGAGAUAGCGCGCUAUCUCCCCAAAUGCCGGUGCUACGUGCUAUGGCGCAACUCAAACUUUGGAUUACUCUGCCUAAUCCCCCUCUGGCUUUUGAAGGGGGAUGUUGGAGUCCCUUCCAUCAAUACCGAGAAUGAAGCAGAGGAUAUGCAAUUCCAAAUCAAUUUGUAGAAUAUAGGAGAAAAUCCAUACGCUUCAAGAGUGGCAAUUAUAGCCUCCAACUUCUUAACUUCCUGAACGUGUUUAGGUGAUCCCAUUUCACCAUCCACAAGAAAAAAAAAGAAUUUUGCCAGCAUCUUCGACCAAAUUCCCUCAGCUAAUAUAUCUUUAUGCUUUCUAUUUCUAAUACUUUCCACUAUUCCCCCCAACUUCCUUAUCGGAGUACCAGAUUUCCACACAAUCGUACUAUUGGCCCUACAAUCCAAACAUUUAUCCACUAGGUUUCUUUCUGAAUCAAAAGCUUUCCAUAAAUGCGAAUCCACAGUAGGUCUGAUUUGUAUAUCAUUAAACGUCUUUCCUUUAAUAUAGCUAUCUUGGAUCCAUUUUACCAAAAUAGAAUCACUCCUAUCCCAGUGCUUUGAAGUUCUUUUAAUAUUGGUUGCAGUGGUGAUAAUGGGAAGGUCUCUAACCCCUAGACCCCCUUUCGCCUUGGGAAGGACCAUUUGGGCCCACGAGAUCUCUUUCCUUCCUUCCCAUAUAAAUCUAUAAACUAACCUUCUCACCAAUACACUUGGCGCUAUGUAGGCGAGAUAGCGCGCUAUCUCCCCAAGUGCCGGUGCUACGUGCUAUGGCGCAACUCAAACUUUGGAUCACUCUGCCUAAUCCCCCUCUGGCUUUUGAAGGGGGAUGUUGGAGUCCCUUCCAUCAAUACCGAGAAUGAAGCAGAGGAUAUGCAAUUCCAAAUCAAUUUGUAGAAUAUAGGAGAAAAUCCAUACGCUUCAAGAGUGGCAAUU
rnacentral:lncRNA from 1 species